AGUUGGGUUAUUUUUGGGUGCUGUCACGGGCUUCCUGAUCAUCACCAUGGAUAUCGGGUGUUGACUCCAUGUGUUUGGGUGAUUCUUGGUAACUAUUUGGCUUUAAGAAUACCAAGCAUGGGAAACUAUUCAAAUGGCCUCUAAUUUGUCGCUGAUGUUUAGUCGUGUUAUUCGUGGGAGUUGUCACUGGCUGCCGGUGAGUUUCCAGUUCUCCCUUCUCUCCUCUACAUGCCUAGGAUGGCAUGGUUACCUCUGCAUGCUCAGAUCUAUGUUGAUGGUCAUGAACUGUUUGUAUUUGGGCAAAUAUACUUGGUACUGCCUUUUGUAUGUCAAGAGGCCAGAAAUUCUCAUUUCUUAUGUUAUUUUUGGUUUUUCCGGUGAUGGAUAUUAGUAAUGUGGUGUUUCAUUUCCUGUUUUGGUACAAGUGCCUCGAACUACUUUGCUCCUAGUGACCUCCUGGAAGUUUCAGGUGCUGCAAUGUCAUGCCUGUACAUAGUUUUGUACCUGGUUGUGUGUGUGUGUGUUAGGUUGAGGACCUUCUGGUCUAGCAAGUUGCUGGCCAUUUUUUCGGUGAAAUUUGAUGCAAUAGUAGCGUUUUUCCUCUGAACAUAGUGACUGUAACUGUGCCAAAACGAUUCUGCAAUUUAUCUCUAGUUAUAUGGAAAUUUGAUCAAUUCAUUCAUUCAAAUUUAUCGUCUGCCCUCUUAUGUUGGUUACAAAUUUAUUUUCUUUGACAAAAUUCUAUCUUUCAAAUUGCCGAAUACCAGUAGGACUGCAAUUGUAGGCAGCAGUAGCACUACAUGUACCGAUUUGUACGUAUUACUACUACUAAAUGUCAAGUUUUCCUCCUCCUAAAAUUACAGCCAAGAUAGUAAUUCAACUAGUCAAGUUUUGUUUCAACGUCAUAUUGCUUUUCUUUCUUCCUGGAAGUUAACUUGUGUCUUUCCUCAUGUGAUUCUUGGUAACUACCAAGCAUGGGAAUCUAUUCAAAUGGCCUCUACUUUAUCGCCGGGGUUUAGAUUAUUGGAAACCGGUCAUGUGAAGUUGUGGGUACAGAGGUUUGACACUUCAUAUUGCGUUCUGCUCUACUCUUAGGCGGUAGUAGAUAUUCUAAAUCUAAAGAUUUAUUGACUAUAUGAAAAACUUUUGUAUUUUUCCUGUGCUCUUUCUCUGCUGCUGUUGAUGUUGUUUUGAGCUCUUUACUAGAUGUUUCACGUGAACUCUCUGGAGUUGGUGCUAGAUUGUUGAAUCACAGUUUUUCGGCACACUAUUGUAUCCGUUAAUCAAAGUAUAGAAUUUUCUGGAGUUAAGUAAUGUCAUGCUUGGACUUGGAGGUGACCGUUUUCUUAUCUGUUUACAUAUGACAAUGGUUCUGAUAUCAAUUGAAUGCAGAUGGUGAUACCUGCCGGAAUGUUUUCGUUUAAAACUUCACUCUCCGGGUAGAAAAGGCUCUAAUCUUUUGAUCACAGGAUAAAUGACAAGGCAGCAGCUGGAGCGCUGAGCCUGAUGCAUCACUUACAAGGAAGAACACAGGGACAAGGAGGCGUUGCCAUCAGGCAGCACCUAGACUCCUUGAUUAUUAUCUCUGUGAUGUAUAUAGUUGCAAAGCAUGUGUUUUGCUGUAAUAACUGCCGUCCCAGGUUGCAUGAGUUGUGCUGUAUGUGCCUUUGGCUUUCUUUUAUUUCCUGUGUUAUGUGAAUGUCUGUAAAAGAUGGAAUGUCUUGCCAAACUUUUUUGCUAAUGUCUGGAAAAACAAAAAGGUAAUGGCACACUUCUCAGCUGUCCAUGUUACAAGCUGACCUUGUAUAUGCAUCUAUACAUUAUG